GUAAACGGACUUGAGCUUGUAUAGCGCUUUUCAAGUCUCCUGGCCACUCAAAGCGCUUUUACACCGCAGGUCACACCUACACAUUCAGAGACUCCUGUGUAAAGUGACCAUCAGUAUUAACUAAUCCCAUUCAUACGCUGCCCAAAAAGCAGUGGGAGCAACUUGGGGAUAAGUGUCUUGCCCAAGGACACAUCAGACAUUCUACAAUUCACUUAGCAGACUCUUUUAUCCAAAGCGACGUACAUCAGAGAGUAAGAACAACACAAGCAAGGAUCUAGAAGAAAGGGAACAAUGUCAGUAAGAGCAAACGAUCAGCUUUGAGUCUGAUUGGACACACAGGUGCUGACAGGAAGUGACCAGAGGUAAAGCACAACAUUGAGGGCAGUUCUUGAGAGCUCUAAUCAGUAUAGAAACCAUCUUAUAAGUCGUCGUUAUCAAACAAAAACCAUCGUCAUUACCAUCAUCAUCAUCAAUAAUAUGGAGACCAUCAUCAUUAAGUUAGUAGGUAUUCAUGAAAGAGCUGGGUCUUUAGCUUUUUCUUAAAGGUGCAGAGGGACUCUGCAGAGCCAAUGGAGGGAUCAAACCUCCAACCUUCCAGUUGAGAGACGAUUGACUCUACCACUGAGCCACAGCCACCCAACAACACAGCACAUUACUCCCUCUCUAAACAAUAUCACUGUGCUUUCAAACACACAGUAACCGUGUACAGUAUCAAAAAAAGUUGUCCUGUCUCUGUGUGUCAAGAAGCAGCAAGACACAGUGCACCAAAUGUUGCCCAUGUUUAUUGAUGAGAGGAGCAGAAUAAUGCAGUCAAUAUAAAUAAUGUAGCUAACAGCUCCAGCUUCUUUGACUCGACUCUCAGAGAGAGAGAGAGAGAGAGAGAGACUGACGGGGACUCAUUCCCGAGUCAGUGAGGCGACUUCAACUUUUCUCAUGGACACCUGUUCAAUAUGCCAUGACGCGCUCGCUUCACACUUUCUGAUCGCAGAUUCAUCAUCAUCAUCAUCAUCAUCAUCAUCAUUAUCGUCGUCGUCGUCAGCGCUGACUGCGUUAAAGCGGGGGCGGUGAUGUGCGUCUGCGAGCACAUUUCAAUGAUUAAGAAAAAGGAAAACAUUGCCAUGUGCACGUGGUGUUUGAAUUGGAUUCGCUUUCUGGUUUCUGCGUUUGCAUGAAGAUGAACUUUGAUCAUCAGUCCGCUUUAUCAAAACAUGCUGAAGCUCCAAACACACAGCAGGUUAUGUAGGAGCCACUGUUUCUGUGAAUUACUCAAAGUCAUUUAUCUCUCCAGCUCACUCUCUGUUGCUCAUAUUGACGCCACCUCCCUCACUAACUAUCUCUUGAUCUCUCUCUCUCUCUCUCCUCCACACGCUCAUCCCAACGUCAACACGCUGCAGGGAACACACAUCUGGAUGUAUGUGGAGCUCGGGGACGCGACUGCGCGGCGAGAGGAAGUCAAAUGAAGGAAGAGGAGAGGAUGAAAGCUCGAGGGGAACAAUCAGAAGGGCAAUGAGGUAAUAUAACCCAACAUCCUAAAGAAGGGUGGAAGAGCACACAUGUGCAAAAGUGCUUAGAUUUAAAGGAAUACACACACACACACACACACACACACACACACACACACACACACACACACACACACACACACACA